rnacentral:rRNA from 1 species
CCUUGUUGAUCCUGUCAAUAGUCAUUUACUUGUCCCAUCGAUUAAGCCAUGCAUGUGUAAGUAUAAAUUAAUUUAGAUUGUGAAACAACUAAUGACUCAUUAAAUCAGUUAUAAUUUGUUUGAUGGUACUUGCUACUCAGAUAACCAUAGUAAUUCUAGAGCUAAUACGUAAAACAAACUUUGACUUCUUGAAGGGAUUAAUUUAUUAGAUAAAAGGUCGACGCGGGCUCUGCUCGUUGCUGCGAUGAUUCAUGAUAACUCAAAGGAUUGCAUGGUCCUCGUGCCGACGAAUCGUUCAAAUUUUUGCACUAUCAACUUUCGAUGGUAGGAUAGUGGCCUACUAUAAUGGUGACGGAUAACGAAAAAUGAGGGUUCAAUUCCAAAGAGGGAGCCUGAGAAACGGCUAUCACAUCCAAGGAAGGCAGCAGGAGCGCAAAUUACCCAAUCAUGACACGGGGAGAUAGUGACAAUAAAUAACAAUACCGGACUCUCAAAGUCCGAUAAUUGGAAUGAGUACAAUCUAAAUCCCUUAACGAGGAUCAAUUGGAGGGUAAGUUUGGUGCCAACAGCCAUGGUAAUUCCAGCUCCAAUAGCAUAUAUUUAAGUUGUUGCAGUUAAAAAACUUGUAGUUAAACUUUGGAUUGGGUCGGCCGGUCCACCUAUAGUGUGCACCGGUCAUUUUGUCCCUUCUGUCAACAAUGCACUUCUGGCCUUAAUUGGCCGGAUCGUGGCACCUGCGCUGUUACUUUGAAGAAAAUGAGCGUGCUGCAAAUAAGCCUCUAAUAACCUUUAUUAUUGCUUCUUCAGCACCGCGAGGCAUGUGAUCUUCCAAGCAAUCCAAGAAAUCAUCAACUCUCUCUCAGAUCAGCUACUUCUUUGAGAGAAGGAAAAUAAAGUCCAAGUACGCUUGAGAAGACCCAUCUCAGUUAAAUGAUGUGAUACGUUUUCUGCACAAAUUGAACAGGCACAUUUUUAUUGCAAUGAUAAGAAAGUAUAAACAAAAACUAAGUAAACAAUGUAAUUAAGAGAUACUCACAUUUCUAGGUCCAAAAUAUUAUUAGUCAGGAAAGAUGGAGAUACAAUGGUUGCAUCCCAAUACAACAACCUCAGGAAGCUAUCAUCAAGUCUUAAAGCAAAUCAACUU